GAUGCUCCGGCGGAUUUCAGUUGUGUGACGGCGGACUCGAGGAUGUUCAUGGAUCAUAAUCACGUCAGAGUCAUCCUUGCUGACGACCUCGCCAUUGUGAUCAAAGGUGUAUUCUAGACUGUUCAUCUCACUGCCGGAUUCAGAACAUAUGCGGAAUCCAAAUCCAGCUCUUCUUCCUGAUGAUCCCGAUCAGCUAGUGCUUGUGCAUCAAGUUCCUCCAUGUCUCUCACCCGGUAUCGGUCGUCCCGGCCUUUGGGACCAUUUUGGGACCUCCGUGAAACUCGACCUCCAGCCUCGCGGACCAAAAUGAUGCUCUCGGAGUCUUUUGGAUCAAGGAGCUAAAAUGUUUCUACAUUUUGGAAUCCGGUCCCUCAAACAUGACAUGAAAAUGAAAGUCCUCACCUGAUAUGGUCUCUGCCCUUGCCGAGGAAGAUGAGAUCUGUCACUUCCACUUCGGAAAGAUCCUGCACUUCGAACCCGCCAACGCUUCAGUUCCGAUGUUCGUCCUAAAAAUGCAAGUUUAUCCAGUAAUUAUUAUCACUGCCAGGCAUGCAGCUGAUAUUUGUUGGAUAAGCCAUGCGUCUUCUUGAAGGGAUUGAAGCUUUCCAAAUUCAUGCAAAAAUUAUACUUUAAUUUCAGACUUGAGGAAGGCUAUCUUACAGAUUAGCAUCUAAUCAAGCACUCUGCAUUGGACACAUAUGAACAUAGCUCAAAGUAGAUAAAGCACAAGUCUCAUUCUGUUAUCUAUUCAUAUUCUUGAUAUACUACAUAUUCAUAGUUUGACGAGAGUAACUCACGUUUUAGCUUAACAAAUGCUGAAAAUUUCAUCAACAACCCUGUUAACUCCAACGAAACCCAGGAUCCAUUGAUCUUUUGAUAUGGCUCAACUUACCCAUACUGGCUGCGGAUCGGAUCCGAUCCUUGGCAGACCUGAUGAUUUCCACAAAUUUGGCGUCCUUGAGUUCACGUCCCGCCCCAUCGGUGACGGUUAAGACGCGAAUGUCUCUUUCACUCCCGUGAAUCCCAACAGAAUUGACUUUGCUAAAACGUGAAUUGCAAGAGUGAAUUUCUGAUAAUUCGAUAAAUCAUUUUCCAUGCUUAUAACUUACUCUCCCUUGUAGUAGUAACAACCAGGACAACAGUAGCAACACAAAGCAAGGAAAACGAGGGCGGCCAGAAAUAAACAUAUGAGCAUCAGCGCCCAGAAUAAAGUUGCAUUCCGUUGUUCCAACUCCUGAAAAGUAAUACAAAUCCGAAUUGUACGCAAGUAUAAGUAUUAUACCGACUUUCGGAUCUUCUAGCACUAGCUUGUUGUACUUUAUAUGUUCAGUUUGGCUUUCCAAUGAUAUGGUAUUUUUCUUAAUACUUAACUAUAAAAUAGAUACAUUGAGGGGACAUCCUAUUUCAAACUUUAGGGCCUUCUGAAUAAGUAAUCUAAUAAUAAUCAAUUAUCAAUGAACACCCUUGGGCGUGUUCAAGUGAACGGGAAUAAUAAACAGUUUUAGAGCA